GUAGCAGNGAAAUGCGUAGAGAUGUGGAGGAAUACNGAUGGCGAAGGCAGCCCCCUGGGAUAAUACUGACGUUCAUGCUNGAAAGCGUGGGUAGCAAACAGGAUUAGAUACCCUGGUAGUCCACGCCCUAAACGAUGUCGAUUAGCUGUUGGGCAACUUGAUUGCUUAGUAGCGUAGCUAACGCGUGAAAUCGACCGCCUGGGGAGUACGGUCGCAAGAUUAAAACUCAAAGGAAUUGACGGGGACCCGCACAAGCGGUGGAUGAUGUGGAUUAAUUCGAUGCAACGCGAAGAACCUUACCUGGUCUUGACAUGUACGGAACCUUCCAGAGACGGAAGGGUGCCUUCGGGAACCGUAACACAGGUGCUGCAUGGCUGUCGUCAGCUCGUGUCGUGAGAUGUUGGGUUAAGUCCCGCAACGAGCGCAACCCUUGUCAUUAGUUGCCAUCAUUUAGUUGGGCACUCUAAUGAGACUGCCGGUGACAAACCGGAGGAAGGUGGGGAUGACGUCAAGUCCUCAUGGCCCUUAUGACCAGGGCUUCACACGUCAUACAAUGGUCGGUACAGAGGGUAGCCAAGCCGCGAGGUGGAGCCAAUCCCAGAAAACCGAUCGUAGUCCGGAUUGCACUCUGCAACUC
rnacentral:rRNA from 1 species